rnacentral:RNase_P_RNA from 1 species
GGCAACACGGCCGGUUACGAGGAAAGUCCGAGCUCCACAGGGCAGGAUAGCUGCUAACGGCAGCCGAAGGCGACUUUAGGGACAGUGCAACAGAAAGAAACCGCUGUGUUUUCACAGCAAGGAUGGAAAGGCGAGGUAAGAGCUCACCAGCGUGCAGGAGACUGCACGGCUAUGUAAACCCUAUCCGGAGCAACACCUAGCAUGGAACGAUGCGGCGGCCCGUCGCGUUCCGAAAUGGUGGCUUGAGCGGUUCGGCAACGGAUCGCCUAGAUAGAUUGUUGUCAAAUACAGAACUCGGCUUAUAUGUUUGGUC